rnacentral:lncRNA from 1 species
UGUUAAUAGACAUGGGUGUAAGUAGCCUAAUUUGCCCGGACCCAUCAGAAACAAUAAAAUAAAAUAAUUAAUUAAAAAAACACAGUCCAAAAUAGCUCAUUUACAGCCUUCACCAGCCCAAAUACAAAUUACAAUCCAAAUUUCAAAACCUAUUUUAUAAUAACACCAAAUUAAAACCCAAGCUAAACCUAAUUUAUGGGCCCAAUGGUCCAACUUCGAAACUGGCCCAAAUGGCCCAAGUACAUGGGACCUCGGAAACACUAGGGUUUCCCCUCUGUGCCGCAGUGACCUCCAGCGCGUCAUGGCCACGUCCACAGCUUUUUGUACGGUGGUUUCACUUGCAAAAAAGAAACAAAAUAACAGCAAAGAGGGGAGUAACAAUGUACAGUAAAUUGACAGCAAAUAAUAGAAAGGUCUAAGGGAAAAUUUCUUUUAUUUUUCUUUUUCUUUAUUCGGCUAUAAAAGGGCUGAAACCAACUAUUGUAUUUUUUUGGAUGAUACAAAAAAGAAAUAUAGUCAGAGAAGAUUAAAGGUGAUUCAUUGAUUGGUUCUUCGUUCUUAUUUUUUGCUUUUUAUUUUAUUUUAUUUUGAAUCUAUUUGACAAAUAUAUAUAAAAAAAGGGGAAGGUUUACUUACUUGUUGUUCGGUGUCAACCUAGUCGAUGUUUGCUCCUCCGAUCUAAGGGUAGACGGAUCCCUGGGUAUCCGGUUAAAGCCCCGUCGGAGAUGGAGACACAUUAGGUGUUGAUGAAGACCGCAAAUCGGAAGAGAAGGGGAGGAAAUGAGAGAGUUCUAAAGUUUUUAGGUUUUUUUU